rnacentral:rRNA from 1 species
GACGAACGCUGGCGGCGUGCUUAACACAUGCAAGUCGAACGGAAAGGCCCUGCUUUUGUGGGGUGCUCGAGUGGCGAACGGGUGAGUAACACGUGAGUAACCUGCCCUUGACUUUGGGAUAACUUCAGGAAACUGGGGCUAAUACCGGAUAGGAGCUCCUGCUGCAUGGUGGGGGUUGGAAAGUUUCGGCGGUUGGGGAUGGACUCGCGGCUUAUCAGCUUGUUGGUGGGGUAGUGGCUUACCAAGGCUUUGACGGGUAGCCGGCAUGAGAGGGUGACCGGCCACAUUGGGACUGAGAUACGGCCCAGACUCCUACGGGAGGCAGCAGUGGGGAAUAUUGCACAAUGGGCGGAAGCCUGAUGCAGCAACGCCGCGUGCGGGAUGACGGCCUUCGGGUUGUAAACCGCUUUCGCAUGUGACGAAGCGUGAGUGACGGUAAUGGGUAAAGAAGCACCGGCUAACUACGUG